rnacentral:rRNA from 1 species
GACGAACCGUGCGAACGUUAUUCGGAAUCACUGGGCUUAAAGCGCGUGUAGGCGGGGCGGCACGUCGGUCGCUGAAAGCCCCCGGCUCAACCGGGGAAGUGGCACCGAUACGACCGCCCUGGAGGGACGUAGGGGGACCUGGAACUUCCGGUGGAGCGGUGAAAUGCGUUGAGAUCGGAAGGAACGCCCGUGGCGAAAGCGAGGUCCUGGACGUUUUCUGACGCUGAGACGCGAAAGCCAGGGGAGCGAACGGG